rnacentral:tRNA from 3 species
GCUCCAUUAGUCAAGUGGUUAAGACACCCGACUUUCUAUCGGGUAACACGAGUUCGAAUCUCGUAUGGAGUACCA